CUGAUAAUGUUUGUGCUGCUGUUUUCCCUCACAAUGAUGUCAUUUGCUGCAGGAUGAUGUCAUCCACAGGCUAACGGGAUGACGUGUGUGUGUGUGUGAUCAGGUGUGCUGGUGGGUAAUAAGAGUGACCUGUCGGUCAGGAGAGAGGUGGACGGUGCCGAGGCUCGAGCGUGGGCUCAGACUCACGGGCUGGAGUAUCACGAGACGUGUGCUAGGGAGAUCGGACAGUUUGAAGCCCCGUUCCUAAGUUUGGCUCGAGCGUUUCACUCGCUGUACCAGGAUCAGAUGCAGAUCGUCCAGAGUCUCGUUUGAGCAGCAGCUCGUGUGUGUGUGUGUG